CCUACGGGGGGCAGCAGUGGGGAAUAUUGCACAAUGGGCGAAAGCCUGAUGCAGCAACGCCGCGUGAGCGAUGAAGGCCUUCGGGUCGUAAAGCUCUGUCCUCAAGGAAGAUAAUGACGGUACUUGAGGAGGAAGCCCCGGCUAACUACGUGCCAGCAGCCGCGGUAAUACGUAGGGGGCUAGCGUUAUCCGGAAUUACUGGGCGUAAAGGGUGCGUAGGUGGUUUCUUAAGUCAGAGGUGAAAGGCUACGGCUCAACCGUAGUAAGCCGUUGAAACUGGCGGGCUGGAGUUGGAGAGAAGUACGCGGAAUGCGCGGUGUAGCGGUGAAAUGCUUAGAUAUCGCGCAGAACCCCGAUUGCGAAGGCAGCGUACCGGCUCCACACUGACGCUGAGGCACGAAAGCGUGGGUAUCGAACAGGAUUAGAUACCCCAGUAGUC
rnacentral:rRNA from 1 species